CCUACGGGAGGCAGCAGUGGGGAAUAUUGCACAAUGGGGGAAACCCUGAUGCAGCGACGCCGCGUGGAGGAAGAAGGUCUUCGGAUUGUAAACUCCUGUUGUUGAGGAAGAUAAUGACGGUACUCAACAAGGAAGUGACGGCUAACUACGUGCCAGCAGCCGCGGUAAAACGUAGGUCACAAGCGUUGUCCGGAAUUACUGGGUGUAAAGGGAGCGCAGGCGGGAAGACAAGUUGGAAGUGAAAUCUAUGGGCUCAACCCAUAAACUGCUUUCAAAACUGUUUUUCUUGAGUAGUGCAGAGGUAGGCGGAAUUCCCGGUGUAGCGGUGGAAUGCGUAGAUAUCGGGAGGAAC
rnacentral:rRNA from 1 species